GCCGUAUUCCUUAGCUGUCGACUCUGCGAUCGCCUUAGUGAACACAUAGGUGUUGGGAUAAUCUCCUAAAAGGGUGGGUGUUAUUUUGUUCAGCUUCGCUUCGUCCAUACCUUCCGUCAGCUUUCCCAGGGUGUCACCUGAAAUGGGCGGUGAGUAAAUUUUUUCUUCGAUAAUCGAACGGUUGCAGUUGCUGUACGCCGUGGAUACGUAGACAACGGACUGGAAAAACAACUUGCGAUUAUACACGUGUGUAAAAUGGACAGAGUCGGAGAUCUCAGACUACAGUGUCGCGUUAAUUGGUAGAGGAAACGAAGCCGUGGAGAAUGGAUCGAUGCUCAUGAACGCCGAUCAUACUCACUUUUAAAUUGUACAUGGAUCGACACAUGUCGAGCACCUCCUUCGUGCCGUUGACGUUAAUCGCAACGGCAUACUUUAGUUGUUCAUCGAAACGCACCGUCGCGGCAACGUGAAAAACGAUGGAUGC